AUGACUCUAACCUCACAACCGACGAAUUUAUUCAUUCUAGUAACUCCUCAGUCUAACACCGCACUCUUCUCGGACCGCGAACAUAUCUGCUUCCACUGUGCAACGCCUCUAAAUUCCACCGUCGGUUCGCACCAAAAUUCUAGGUUGGUGGGUUUCACUUUCUUCAAAAUUUUGAUACCGAUUGGUUGCUGCAUACUUUUUCUUUAUCUACUUUUGAUUUUGUGA